rnacentral:tRNA from 1 species
CAGGGAGACACAACCGAUCGUGAUGUCUGAGCGCUGAACAAACGAAAGUUUGGGAAGCACUUUUGUCUCAGGCCACGGUCCUGUCAUCUCGAAGGUCGAUCGGUACCUCAAGGUGAGCCAUCAAAGCCAAAGAGACGUCCAGAGAGCUCGAAAGAGCAGGAAGGACACUUUAAGGAUGUUGUGAUGGACUCGUUUUCAGUUCCUAAACUUUGUCUAGGUCACCCCACAAAGGGUUUCCCAAUCUUUCCAGGAUUCAGAGCUGUCAAAGGCUUUGCGAUCAAGGAAGAUGCAAGAGACUUGUGUCGAAGUGAUUGAUCCUGGGCCAUUAGCUCAGGUGGUUAGAGCGCACCCCUGAUAAGGGUGAGGUCCCUGGUUCAAGUCCAGGAUGGCCCAUUCGUGUUUGGGGGUUUAGCUCAGUUGGUAGAGCGCCUGCUUUGCGAGCAGGAUGUCAGCGGUUCGAGUCCGCUAACCUCCAUCCAACCAAGUGAAGACCACCAGCAGGAAACGGCAACAGGAUGCAUUUUGACCGGUGGGUGACAAAGACGAUGUUCAGCUGAGGACUCCAGCCUCUUUUCAUUCCCACGUGAUCACUUGUCAAACAAGGUAAGUGCGAUCAACGGUGGUUGAAAGGAAGCUGGACUCGCUGAUUUCGGCGCGAGCCAGGAAUCAGUGACUCUAGCAAAGAACCUUGACAACUGUAUAGGUAAGUCUGGAUAAAGAAAGCAUCUCAUAGAUGCCCAGACGGACGCAAACUUUACUUGGUACUGCCAAGUGAAGGGAAUGUCUGGCUGGGAGAUUCUUGAGUUUAGAGCCGAGAGCUUCCGGCGUCUUUUCUCUCCGCCGAGGAGAGAAGAGUUUGAUUCUGCCUUUCAAACCAUUGAAGCCUUAGUGAAAGCGGGAAACCGAUGAUCAAAGGGUGUAGAUAGGUGAAAGCAGAAGAAUGGGUCUCAACAACCCUGAACGUUGGGAGUGUUAAUU